UUAACCAUUCCUUUCAUGCGCCGCCGAGAAAGAAAGGUCCCGUCUUAGAUCUGCCGAGAACGCCGUCCACAUCAUCCCUUUCGUCCUCGUUCUUUGCGGUUUCAUUCUUUGGUUCUUUUCCGGCCUAGAAUCAAGGGUAUGAAGAUUGAUAGCAAAAUCAAGAGUCUUUGGUUCAUGGGAUGACUUGACUAAAAAAUUGGAGCUCAAGGGCUUCUGUUCCACAAAAGAAGUGGUAUGCAUAACCUGAGAGGUUAUCAAAGAAUGGAUGUAACUCAUUUGUAUCUUUUCAAAUAGAUAACUUGAUAUUCAUUUGCUUCUGGAAAACAUUUUUUAUUUUUGUAAAAUGCAGGUGUUUUCAUGCACUUUGCGAUGUUACAUAUAUAAGAGACGAAAAUUUAAUGGGUAUAUGUUUAUGAUAUGUAAAAUGCCUUUUACUUCUGGCU